rnacentral:tRNA from 1 species
UUUAAUAUGGCAGAUAAAGUGCAAUAGAUUUAAACUCUAUUUAUAAAGAAUUUUCUUUUAUUAAUA